UACGUAGGUGGCAAGCGUUGUCCGGAAUUAUUGGGCGUAAAGCGCGCGCAGGCGGUCCUUUAAGUCUGAUGUGAAAGCCCACGGCUCAACCGUGGAGGGUCAUUGGAAACUGGGGGACUUGAGUGCAGAAGAGGAAAGCGGAGUUCCACGUGUAGCGGUGAAAUGCGUAGAUAUCUGGAGGAACACCGGUGGCGAAGGCGGCAUCCUGGACCGGCAUUGACGCUGAGGAGCGAAAGCCAGGGGAGCAAACGGG
rnacentral:rRNA from 1 species